rnacentral:rRNA from 1 species
CAUGGAGGGUGAGAAUCCCGUUCAUGGUUAAUCUUAAGGAAGCUCUACGAUACGUUUUCCAAGAGUCGAGUUGUUUGGGAUUGCAGCUCAAAAUGGGAGGUAAAUUUCUCCUAAGGCUAAAUAUUGGCGAGAGACCGAUAGCGAACAAGUACCGUGAGGGAAAGAUGAAAAGAACUUUGAAAAGAGAGUUAAACAGUACGUGAAAUUGUUGAAAGGGAAACGAUUGAAGUCAGUCAUACCAACGGGAAAUCAACCUUUUGAGCUUGGUCUCGUGGGUUUUGAAGAGUUUCAAAGCCUUCGGAUUCGCGGGAUUGGGAUCUCUUGGUGUACUUUUUCGUACGGUUAGUCAACAUCGGUUUUGAAUGUCAUAAAAUGACUGGAGGAAUGUAGCUUCGAUCUCGUAUUGAAGUGUUAUAGCCUUUGGUAGAUGUGAUGUUUGGGACCGAGGAUUGCAACGGAUACCCUUCAGGGCUAUUCGUCUGAUCUUUGGUACUUGUCUUUAGUAUCGGAAGCUUGCUAACGAUAUUAGGGUUCACGGGUCAAAGGUUGGAACGGAUUAAAUUCGUUAAGGAUGUUGACGUAAUGG